rnacentral:rRNA from 1 species
AUUGAACGCUGGCGGCAUGCCUUACACAUGCAAGUCGAACGGCAGCGGACCUUCGGGUGCCGGCGAGUGGCGAACGGGUGAGUAAUAUAUCGGAACGUACCUUUCAGUGGGGGAUAACGUAGCGAAAGUUACGCUAAUACCGCAUAUUCUGUGAGCAGGAAAGCAGGGGAUCGCAAGACCUUGCGCUGAUUGAGCGGCCGAUAUCAGAUUAGCUAGUUGGUGAGGUAAAGGCUCACCAAGGCGACGAUCUGUAGCGGGUCUGAGAGGAUGAUCAGCCACACUGGGACUGAGACACGGCCCAGACUCCUACGGGAGGCAGCAGUAGGGAAUAUUGGACAAUGGGGGGAACCCUGAUCCAGCCAUGCCGCGUGAGGGAAGAAGGUCCUCUGGAUUGUAAACCUCUUUUGGCAGGAAACAAACCUGCGCUAUACGCGCAGCUGAGGGUACCUGCAGAAUAAGCACCGGCUAACUCCGUGCCAG